rnacentral:rRNA from 1 species
CUGAGAGGUUGAACGGCCACAUUGGGACUGAGACACGGCCCAGACUCCUACGGGAGGCAGCAGUGGGGGAUAUUGCGCAAUGGGGGCAACCCUGACGCAGCAACGCCGCGUGAAGGAUGAAGGUUUUCGGAUUGUAAACUUCUUUUAUUAAGGACGAAAAAUGACGGUACUUAAUGAAUAAGCUCCGGCUAACUACGUGCC